GCUUUGUGGUUCAACUGAUUUGAAGAGCUUGCUCAGAUAUGACGAUGGACAUUGCAAAGAGUGGCGAACGGGUGAGUAACACGUGGGAAACCUACCUCUUAGCAGGGGAUAACAUUUGGAAACAGAUGCUAAUACCGUAUAACAAUGACAACCGCAUGGUUGUUAUUUAAAAGAUGGUUCUGCUAUCACUAAGAGAUGGUCCCGCGGUGCAUUAGCUAGUUGGUAAGGUAAUGGCUUACCAAGGCGAUGAUGCAUAGCCGAGUUGAGAGACUGAUCGGCCACAAUGGGACUGAGACACGGCCCAUACUCCUACGGGAGGCAGCAGUAGGGAAUCUUCCACAAUGGGCGAAAGCCUGAUGGAGCAACGCCGCGUGUGUGAUGAAGGGUUUCGGCUCGUAAAACACUGUUGUAAGAGAAGAAUGACAUUGAGAGUAACUGUUCAAUGUGUGACGGUAUCUUACCAGAAAGGAACGGCUAAAUACGUGCCAGCAGCCGCGGUAAUACGUAUGUUCCAAGCGUUAUCCGGAUUUAUUGGGCGUAAAGCGAGCGCAGACGGUUAUUUAAGUCUGAAGUGAAAGCCCUCAGCUCAACUGAGGAAUUGCUUUGGAAACUGGAUGACUUGAGUGCAGUAGAGGAAAGUGGAACUCCAUGUGUAGCGGUGAAAUGCGUAGAUAUAUGGAAGAACACCAGUGGCGAAGGCGGCUUUCUGGACUGUAACUGACGUUGAGGCUCGAAAGUGUGGGUAGCAAACAGGAUUAGAUACCCUGGUAGUCCACACCGUAAACGAUGAGUGCUAGGUGUUUGAGGGUUUCCGCCCUUAAGUGCCGCAGCUAACGCAUUAAGCACUCCGCCUGGGGAGUACGACCGCAAGGUUGAAACUCAAAGGAAUUGACGGGGACCCGCACAAGCGGUGGAGCAUGUGGUUUAAUUCGAAGCAACGCGAAGAACCUUACCAGGUCUUGACAUCCCUUGACAACUCCAGAGAUGGAGCGUUCCCUUCGGGGACAAGGUGACAGGUGGUGCAUGGUUGUCGUCAGCUCGUGUCGUGAGAUGUUGGGUUAAGUCCCGCAACGAGCGCAACCCUUAUUACUAGUUGCCAGCAUUCAGUUGGGCACUCUAGUGAGACUGCCGGUGACAAACCGGAGGAAGGUGGGGAUGACGUCAAAUCAUCAUGCCCCUUAUGACCUGGGCUACACACGUGCUACAAUGGCGUAUACAACGAGUUGCCAACCCGCGAGGGUGAGCUAAUCUCUUAAAGUACGUCUCAGUUCGGAUUGUAGGCUGCAACUCGCCUACAUGAAGUCGGAAUCGCUAGUAAUCGCGGAUCAGCACGCCGCGGUGAAUACGUUCCCGGGUCUUGUACACACCGCCCGUCACACCAUGAGAGUUUGUAACACCCAAAGCCGGUGGGGUAACCUUCGGGAGCCAGCCGUCUAAGGUGGGACAGAUGAUU
rnacentral:rRNA from 1 species